GUGAAACCUAUCCCCUGCCUUCUUUCUCUUUCUGCGUGAAACACCAGUAACUUUCUCUCAUCCUCAACCUCUCAAAGAUUCUUGUGUUCUUGGUCAAUGCAUGUGAAAUUCUUCAAUAACCCUAAAUACCCAAUAUGUAAAUGAAGGAAAGGAAAAACUCAGCAUCUCUACCCUCUCAAAUAUUUCUCCACCGAACCAUACCCACCCUUUUCUCAAAAAUCAAACCCUUAGGACCCAAUCCUCAAUCCUUCAAAUUGAGUAUUUGCAUGUGUACUAAUCUGCAUAAGAUCAUGUUUUUGGGGGAAAAGAAGAUUAAGGACUGUUUAAGAACAAGUAGAAUUUGGGAGUGAAGAAACUAAAGUGGAGGAGUUGAGAGAAAGCGCAAGAACAAGAUCUAAAUUUAAUGGGUGUCAUCUUUUGUGCAAAGGGGCUGGAAUAUGGGACAAGAACAGACCUUGGAGCUGUAGAGAAUUGAUAGCUUCAAGUUCUUCAUUAAAUUGAGAAAUCCUUACAUGUCUGGAAAGCCGACGAAAUACCUGUCGUCUCGGUGCCAACCACGUAUAAUUUGGAUCAAUAUUGAGGGCUGGAGACGCCUUUGAAGUUGGAGCUCUGAUGCAGAAUUAUGCAGAAAAUUCUGAUUAUGGGUUUAUAGCAUUUCAGUUGCAAAUUAUGCGUUUCGGCGAGCUCUGAAAGUGUCGCUGGUAUUGUUCAAGCUUCUUUUCAGAUAAGCAGGUUGAUCAAGAUAUCAUGGUCUGCAAGCAUGGAGUUCAGAUACUUGGAUUAUGCUAGUUGAGCUGACGUCAUGUUAUCUUAUAAUUGUAUAAGAUUUAGUUUCUUUAUGUUUUCAGUUGUUAGCUCAAUUUAGUAUUAAUCUCUUGGAUUUUGUAAUCCUAUUUAUGUAUUCGGACAAUAUGUAAUGAAAAUUUAAUGUUUCCGAUUCAGUUAUGUACACUCUUAUCGAUAUUCUAGAUAAAUCGAUGUGAGGUGUUAUAAUUGGUAUCAGAGCAGGUCGAUUCAGUAUCGGACCUUGCCGCGGAUCAUUAAAGUUCAAUAAAAGUAGUACGGACCCUUUGGAGUCUGAACUGUUUACGCUGAAA